CUUAAAUCUAUCCUCGGACUAUACCAAGAUGCUUAUGACCAAUAAUACAUUAAUCUUGACAAAUCAAAUAUCUCUUUUAGCCAAAAUGGUCUAUUGAUAGACAAAACGACUUCCUAAGAUGGAUCCCUUUUAAGGUAGAGGAGACUCCCCCAAAAUACCUAGUUGUAUCAUGUUUCAUUUGAAGAUCUAAGAUGCAGGUUUUUGAAUUUGUUCAAGAUCAUAUUUGGAAGAAUUUCAAAGGAUGGAAGGAAGGAUUCCUCUAAUCCCCCCCUCUGCAGGAAUGGGGGUGCUUAUCAAGUUAGUGGCUCAGUCCAUACCCA
rnacentral:lncRNA from 1 species